rnacentral:rRNA from 1 species
CCUACGGGGGGCAGCAGUGAGGAAUAUUGGUCAAUGGCCGGGAGGCUGAACCAGCCAAGUCGCGUGAGGGAAGACGGCCCUACGGGUUGUAAACCUCUUUUGUCAGGGAGCAAGGUGCAGGUCGGGACCUGCUGUGAGAGUACCUGAAGAAAAAGCAUCGGCUAACUCCGUGCCAGCAGCCGCGGUAAUACGGGGGAUGCGAGCGUUAUCCGGAUUUCUUGGGGUUAAAGGGUGCGCAGGCGGAGGCACAAGUCAGCGGUAAAAGCGCGGGGCUCAACCCCGCUCCGCCGUUGAAACUGUGUCGCUGGAGUGCACGAAGGGUAGGCGGAAUGCGUGGUGUAGCGGUGAAAUGCAUAGAUAUCACGCAGAACUCCGAUCGCGAAGGCAGCCUACCGGCGCGCAACUGACGCUCAUGCACGAAAGCGUGGGUAGCGAACAGGAUUAGAUACCCGUGUAGUC